rfam:Erinaceus europaeus unplaced genomic scaffold scaffold00625, whole genome shotgun sequence
AGACUCUCCUGCCUGGAGAUACCAUGAUCACAAAGGUGGUUUUCCCAGGGCAAGGCUUAUCCAUCGCACUUUCUCGAUGUGCUGAUCCCUGCAAUUUCUCCAAAUGUGGGAAACUCAACUGCAUAAUUUGUAGUAGUGGGGGACUGUGUUCGUGUUCUCCCCUG